rnacentral:sRNA from 1 species
AUUUUGUUUUUUCUUUUUGUUUAGGUAAUAACUGCAAUUAAACUUUACAUUAAUCCAACUUUUACUGAUUUUGACACUCGGAGAUACUUGUAAGUAACAUUCUAUCAUAUAAAGAGUAUAUACCAAACUUUAUUUUACAUGUUUUACACAGACAUGUCUUUGAAGUUGGACAAGUUUAUGAUUAUGUGAAAAUGGAGUUGGAUCAUGAUAACUAAAGUGGAUAUAGAUUGAUGUCUUAUUGUCGAUCGUCCGACGUAUUGCAUAGUCACCAAGAGUGUAUCGAUCGACACUCCUCGUUGAUUCCUGAACCAAAAUCGUCUUUAGCUUCCUUUUUCUUAGCUUUUGCUCCAAAAUGUCUCCUUAUCUCUAUUAUUGUCCCAUUGAAUAGAAUACCUGAAAAACACUAAAAACACUCGAGAAAUAACAUAAAAACUCAAAAUCCUAUACCUAAAACAUAGUUAAAAUCGGUGAAAAUCGGGUUAUAUCAGUAAUGCAAGUUCCCAACCAAUCAAUGUUGAAGAUGAUGGAAUAAUAAGUCGACCUCCGGGUGUCAAGGCAGCAAAAGCGAAAGGAUAGAAGUCAGCCACUAUUAAAGAAGGAAAGAAAUCUGCUAGUAUUAAAGGAGAAGCAGACCAGUCAUCAGUCGAACAUUUUCAGAGCUUAUAGGAGCUUAAGGAGAAGGAUUGGGAUCACAAAGAGAAGCAAAGCAAUCAGAUACUUGAAAGUCUCUUUAGUGACUUAAGUGUCAGAAGUUUUCUCUCUCUUAACUCUCUCAAA